CCCCCAGGGAAAACAGGAUCUUCCUUUGAUCACCUACAGCUACUGCUUAUUUCUCACUUCAUGUUGCACUGACAAAGUCCAGCCCAUAAGAUAUGGAUGCAUAGAGUGGGCGAAGUCACCUUGCAGAAGGAAGGCCAAUGAGGACCUUAUGGUUUCUAUAAAGACACUCAACUAGCAAGCAGAAGACAAACAUUCAGGGCUAUGAUUAGGGGCACCCCUAGAAAAGGAACACUGAUAUUCACACAGCUGGGAUGUAUUAGGAAAGAGCCAAAAUCACAGCAUCUCUGGCAUGUGUUCACUCCAGGGGCUGGCCUGAGGCAGCACUUUCACUUUGCCAGGGUCAGUCUGGCAUGCUUCAAGCAGGAGAGCAAUUAUUACUUAGGAAGAACCCAUUCCUUCCACAUCCCUUGUUGGUUCUCCUCUCCAUCACACUGCCACCUUCUUCUGCCUAGCUAAAAACAGACAACAUCAUGAACUACUGCUUCUCCCAGCCAUCAAGGGAGAUGUCUGAAGGCUCAGAUGUAAGGUAGAUGGGCAACUCCCACUGACUUUAAGUAAGAAUUGGGCACUUUUCCAUCCUUUGAACACUUCCCCUCAUGCUUUGGCUGCCCCAAGGGACCUCACCACUCCUAGGACCAGAUAAUCACCCCUGAGCUACAGAGACCUUCUUUGUACUUUAUUAUAAGCAAGUGCUAAUAUUCAACACAACUUUAGGUUUUGCAACAUUCCUAAUUGCUCCUUCCACUACCUCCUAAAGCAGAAACAGCCAAGACAAUCUGCUUCAACAGGUCUGGAUGACUACACAAGUAGAUUGGGCAACCUUAAGUCUUUGGCACCUGCAAAAGGUAUUCCAUUUAUUUGGUGUCUCUCAUCCAGAGGGUUCCUAAAAUCCUCAGCAAACCUUCUGAGCAGAUUAGAAACUGAAUUAUGCCCUGUGAUAAAGUGGUCUUGCCUGGGUGUAACUGAGGGCACAAUUGGAUUCUCUCUCUUAAGGAAUUGCUUCACUCCCAAAAGAAAUACAACUAUUUCUAAGGGCAAAAUGUAGCAAAUACUGCAAUGUGGUAGGACCGGUAGUAAAGAUUGCUGUGUUCAGUUGAAAUCCCAUCUAAGAAAGAGCUAGGCGAGAAAUAUGUAUUUAUCCAAGCUAAAAUGUCCUGAGGGCACUAGGAUCAAUAUAACCUAACUCAUGUGCAAUGGACUGUGUGAUUAUUAUAGACCAAGUUGGCUGAGCCAACAUUUUACACUUCAUCCAAAAAAUAUCUGUACAUUCCUGAAAUGGGCAUCAGCCAAGGAAGACCUCCAUUUAUAGGAACUUGUAGAGAUGUGAGAAAAGACUUACCUGCUACUGUACUGUACUGUACCGAACAACACCAACAUCAACAUUAACCAACAUCAACUGCAUUAUCCUUCUUCUUGAUCUAUGACCACACUUAAAUCCUCCUCUUAGUUAGCUCAGAUUUAUGGUGGCAAUUCAUUUAUACUAAUGAACAGGAAACAAGUGUCUUCCAUUAAGGCCCUGAUUGACUAUUCACUCUUGGUAUUUUCCAGACAGCAAAUUAGAAGAACAAUAACUGAAUGUGAGAGGCAGCUAUGUAAAAACACCCCUAAAAGCCAGGAUUUAUGCAGAAGAAAAAGGACUUUUUGCAUAAAGCAGACACCCAAGCAACUCUGCCAGCACCAGACACUGAAAUACAAACAGCUUUAUCAAGAUACACUGAAAUCGUAGAAAUUCCUUGGCAGAAAGAUGCUGUACAGAUAUUUCCUGAGCAAAACAUGGCUGGGGGAAGCAAGUGUUGUCCCAAUUUUGAAGGGGCACAGUGAGGGCAAGUGGCUUGCCAUUCGCUCCGGCAGGAAGCAGCAGGUGAGCUGAAGCUCUGGCCAUGUACCGUCUGUGCCAACCCGGGACUGGUGCACGAGAACUUCUGCUGCUGCCAGAAGCCAAGCCUUAGACCCUAGGGAGCUGGACGGCAGCAAUCAGCCCUUCUGCUGAGAACCUUUAAAUAGCUAAAGAAUAGCCGAAAUAUUUUAAAGCACUUAAAAAAAUUAAAUCAUCUGCAAUGCAUCCUUCUGA